rnacentral:rRNA from 1 species
GUGCCAGCCGCCGCGGUAAUACAGAGGGGGCAAGCGUUAUUCGGAAUUAUUGGGCGUAAAGGGCGCGUAGGCGGCUUGGCAAGUGGAAGGUGAAAUCCCUCGGCUUAACCGAGGAACUGCCUUCCAGACUGCUUUGCUUGAGGCCGGGAGAGGCGAGUGGAAUUCCCAGUGUAGCGGUGAAAUGCGUAGAUAUUGGGAGGAACACCAGUGGCGAAGGCGGCUCGCUGGACCGGUUCUGACGCUGAUGCGCGAAAGCGUGGGGAGCAAACGGGAUUAGAAACCCCUGUAGUCC